UUCGCCCAUGCUCCGUUGACUUCCGGUUCGGUUCCUGCUCCGGUUUUUGACUUUUGGACACGUAAAAAAAAAGACAGAGAAUUUAAGCCCUACUAUUUCAUCAGACCUUCAUUUUUUUUUUAUAUACAUGUAAUGCUGCUCUACCUACCCAGUCGGGUGUCGUGCUGUGACAAAGCAGCCCUGCCAUAAGAAAAGUCGCGUUGCGGUGAAAUCUGGCUCUGGUGUGCCGCGGCCUCGCUCUGGUGCACAAACCAUUUUUUAACUCCACAGAGGAUGACUGAGCAGGCUUCUAGAGGCACGGCAUGACAACUGACAUGACGACGAUGAUGAUGAUGAAACGUCUCACCUGCAUGCUCUCUCAAAAUGGAGUUCAUCAGAGAAGGUGAAAGGGUGGCCCACAACUCUAUAGCUCAGGAACCCAGGAGAGCUGCUCCCCGGGGAUCGACGGUAACUAACUGCGGCGGUGGCAGCAGCCCGCCAGGAUCGCGCUCUGAUAGUGGUGAGGAAAUCAAUGAAGGGGCCUGAGAGCAGCCGGCCUGGCAGACUUGACACGCAACAGAGGAAGGAGAACAGCGCUGACCUUUGACCGCGGCAUCCGUGAGCAGCCACCGUCUUUCCCCUCAGCUUUAGCCAACCAUGCCUAAGCCGUGAAGACAGAGUGAGGAGGCGAGGCCUUGGUGUGUGGAAGACCGCAGAGCCCUCCAGCUUCCUAUUCAAGCUGCAAUGAAGGCAGGACACGACUGGCAUCUGAUCCAACUACUGAGCACCACCGUCCUUGUCAUCAUCAUCAUUGUUCCAUCUACUUCAAAUUCACCUGCCUCCCCCUCGACUGGUAAAUCAGGCUCUCCGCCAGCAUUUGGAGCCUCCAUGGCUACAGGGAUUUGCUCCUCAGCCACAAGUGAUGCAGUGCUGAUGUUGGGUGAUGAGGCCUGGCUCGCCGCUGCAGUUCGUUUCAGUUCAUCACAGAGGUGUCGGAUGGGGUUGAGGUCAGCGCUCU